GUCUACGGCCACACCACCCUGAAUGUGUCUGAUCUCGUCUGAUCUCGGAAGCUAAGCAGGGUCCGGCCUGGUUAGUACUUGGAUGGGAGUUGACAGAUUUCUUAACGAGUCACUUCUCCACAGACU
ensembl:rRNA 5S_rRNA 5S ribosomal RNA